rnacentral:rRNA from 1 species
GAUGAACGCUGGCGGCGUGCCUAAUACAUGCAAGUCGAGCGAACAGACGAGGAGCUUGCUCCUCUGACGUUAGCGGCGGACGGGUGAGUAACACGUGGAUAACCUACCUAUAAGACUGGGAUAACUUCGGGAAACCGGAGCUAAUACCGGAUAAUAUAUUGAACCGCAUGGUUCAAUAGUGAAAGACGGUUUUGCUGUCACUUAUAGAUGGAUCCGCGCCGCAUUAGCUAGUUGGUGAGGUAACAGCUUACCAAGGCAACGAUGCGUAGCCGACCUGAGAGGGUGAUCGGCCACACUGGAACUGAGACACGGUCCAGACUCCUACGGGAGGCAGCAGUAGGGAAUCUUCCGCAAUGGGCGAAAGCCUGACGGAGCAACGCCGCGUGAGUGAUGAAGGUCUUCGGAUCGUAAAACUCUGUUAUUAGGGAAGAACAAAUGUGUAAGUAACUAUGCACGUCUUGACGGUACCUAAUCAGAAAGCCACGGCUAACUACGUG